GAUAUUCUCAACAGAAAGGGUUAAAGGCUGAUGGUACCUAAAGCCUGGUACUUGAAUUUUGAUCAAGAUAAGCUGCCUUAAGUUCUCUUCAUUACACAAAUGAUCCUAGAUAAUUGAUAGAUCCUGUGGUUCACCUGGAUUUCUAGAUAGAAGCUGGAUUCAUGUGAUGCCAGAGGAGUAAAAUUUCAAGAGACUGAAACCAGAUCUGAGUUUCGCUGUUCCAGUCUGGACCUCUUUGGUGCUGUAAAUCCUGGAUAUACUGUAGAUGAGUACUGCGUUUUUCUUUUAUGCCGGAGCUGCGGCCCGCAACUCCCUCAGCCUGGCAGGUCCCAGGAUGCUUCGGGGCAACCCCACGCAUGCGCGCUCUGGCGUAGUUCCUGAAGCACUCGCUCGCAGAGAAUCCUGGAAUCUUCGCUUGUGGAGCUGUGGAGGCAACGGAGUUUUUCCGCGCUUUUUCUUUCAGCCUCAGAUUAAGUAUCAUUUAUUACUAUUAUUUUCUCUACUGAGCGUGGAAAGCUGGCUGAAAAUUCCAGAGUGUAAUUUCUGUGGGUCUGUUUCUCUAAAACUUGCCCCUCACGCAGCUUGUACAGAAGUUAGAUUGGCGCUUACUCCCAGCUGGUGGAAGAUUCGGGAUUAGCUGCGCCUCUGCUGCGUGAGAGAGGGCUUAG
rnacentral:sRNA from 1 species